UCAUUCAUCGCUCGCUUUUUCACACAGACACUCAUCCGCUUCGCCAACGCUCUGCUCCUAGUAAGUCCCAUCUCCACAAACAGAGAGAUCGUACCCUCACAAAUCAAGAAGAGAAGAACACACAAGGAGGAGAAGCGCCCGCAUCAUUCAAGGUGGGAUUAAUUCAUGGCUUUCCCCUAGCAUUUGGUUUGGCCAUGGGUACAAACCAAAGAGCUUUAUUCUUCUCUCUUCUCCCUUAACUUUUGAUUUGGCCAUUGGUACAAAUCAAAGAGCUUUCAUCUACAUGCUAGAACUCAUGCCCUUGUUCUUGGCCAUCGUGGUACAAAUCAAGGAGUUGAGUUCAAGUUCUUUAAAUUCAUACUUUGAGUUUGGCCAUGGGUACAAACCAAAGAUAUUUGCUUCUAUCUAUCAAACUCAUGCCUUUGAUUCGGCCAUUGAGGUACAAAUCAAAGAGCUUGCUGCAUAUUUUCUACAAAAAUGUCAACUUGGCUUUGGCAUCAUGUUAAAUAAACAUAGAGAAUUCAUCCAUCUACUAAGUUUAUUCUCUUGAUUCGGCCAUUGCGGUACAAAUCAAGGAGUAUGUUUAUCUCAUCUAAAGUGUCAUCUUGGUUAGGCCAUCAUGGUACAAACCAAGAGAAUAUAUUUUGUUCUUAGUAUUUUCACUCUUGAUUCGGUCCCAUUAGCGAUACAAAUCAGGAUGAAACGUGUGCGCAAGCCUCAUUCCUUGGUUUGGUCCCUAUACGCGGAUACAAAUCUAGAGAAUAGACUAAGGACAAGAUGCAUAUGAAAUUUUCUCGAACCAGUCCUUAAAAUGGACAUUACCUGGGUGAAAAUGAGAAGAAAAUCAUCAUAGUGUUAAGCUAAAUCAAGUCAUAAAAAUACAAUUCUUGUUCGGUUACGCUACGGGUAUUUUAUACCACGCUAGUAGUAAUACAAACAUGAAGAAAAUAAACAUUCAUCUUGGUUACGCUUCUCGCAGGCAUUGCUAUGCGAUGAUAGUAGUAAUACAAGUGAAGCUAAAUUUAAGAAAACUCUCAUGUCCCAUAAGCAUAUAUAAAAAUAUAGGAUAAAAUUAUUCUCAACCAAAAAUCAUGGAAAAACGCUUGCAGGUUAAUCCAAAAUAUGGUCAAUUAACUUGCAUGAUACAUAUUUCCAUCCAAAAUUAAAAGGCAUGCUCCGUGCCAUGCAAAUGGUUCAAAGUUCAAAUUUCCUCUAAGACAAACUAGUACUACAUCAACUAGUACUAAAAAUAAAAUAAAUAUAUCUAGAUGCAUGUACUUGUCGCUGCAUGCAUGUAGAGAAAUGCACGUGCAUGGUCUAUGACUAAAAUUCCAUGCACCAUUCGGAUGCUAUUACUCGGCUAAGAAAAAUGAAACAACCCACAAAUAAUCGACAAUAGACCAUAUGUCGAGCCAACUGAGUAAAUUAAGUAUCUGAUGUAUGCAAAAUACUUGUACGGAUAAUACUAGUGCAAGUAAAAAUAUAUGUUCAAGAAUUACGUGCUCCCUCAAGCAUGAUGGCGUCGAAGACGGCGAGGAAGACUUCGUAGUUUAAUUUUCAUUUUGUAUUAGUGACAUAUGUUGUAAUCCUUUAUAUUAGAAAGUUGGAAUUCUUAAUCAGGGGUUUUCUCUUCGGAGAUGUAAUUAACG
rnacentral:lncRNA from 1 species